UCCAGACCACUGUGGGGGAGGUGGCAGUUACCCACAAUGCACCAGGCACAGCAUUACUCCAGAGUACUGUGGGGGGAAAUGGCAGCUUUCAGUGGGAGCAACCAUAUUUUUUGGACACACUUCCUCUCUUUUGUUUCUACAAUGCUCUUGGCAGACACGACAGUGGGAAACAAAAUGGCGACCACUACAAAGUACAGCCCGGACUGGUAGAUGACGAGGAUGACAGCUGGUCUCGCGGUAAGCAAGCAGGGAUGCCCCCUUUUGCUCAGCAGGGUCUGCCUUGGUUUGAAUUUGGAUGGGAGACGACGUGGGAGCACUGUCAGAUAUGGGGUCGGAGAUGGAUUUAGGCACCAGCUAAGGAAUCUGCAGUGUAGAGCCCCACUUGAUGAGGGGCCUCUGGAUCUUUUUUUUUUUAAAGACGAAAUUUCAAGUUUGACCGAAUGCAUUUCCAUGGAUUAAUUCCCUGCAUUUCAAAAUUUCGAAUGCAAGCAGGCUCUUUGUAAGAUAACUGUUUUUGGUUGGAUGAUCAGGGUUCCACUGCAUCAUCACCAAGUAAAAAUAAAGCUUUUUAAUUUCUA